AUUGAACGCUGGCGGCAGGCUUAACACAUGCAAGUCGAGCGGAGAUGAGGUGCUUGCACCUUAUCUUAGCGGCGGACGGGUGAGUAAUGCUUAGGAAUCUGCCUAUUAGUGGGGGACAACAUUCCGAAAGGAAUGCUAAUACCGCAUACGUCCUACGGGAGAAAGCAGGGGAUCUUCGGACCUUGCGCUAAUAGAUGAGCCUAAGUCGGAUUAGCUAGUUGGUGGGGUAAAGGCCUACCAAGGCGACGAUCUGUAGCGGGUCUGAGAGGAUGGUCCGCCACACUGGGACUGAGACACGGCCCAGACUCCUACGGGAGGCAGCAGGGGGGAAUAUUGGACAAUGGGGGGAACCCUGAUCCAGCCAUGCCGCGUGUGUGAAGAAGGCCUUAUGGUUGUAAAGCACUUUAAGCGAGGAGGAGGCUACUGAGACUAAUACUCUUGGAUAGUGGACGUUACUCGCAGAAUAAGCACCGGCUAACUCUGUGCCAGCAGCCGCCGUAAAAC
rnacentral:rRNA from 1 species